rnacentral:rRNA from 1 species
GCUCAGUGAAAUUGAACUCGCUGUGAAGAUGCAGUGUACCCGCGGCAAGACGGAAAGACCCCGUGAACCUUUACUAUAGCUUGACACUGAACAUUGAGCCUUGAUGUGUAGGAUAGGUGGGAGGCUUGGAAGUGUGGACGCCAGUCUGCAUGGAGCCGACCUUGAAAUACCACCCUUUAAUGUUUGAUGUUCUAACGUUGACCCGUAAUCCGGGUUGCGGACAGUGUCUGGUGGGUAGUUUGACUGGGGCGGUCUCCUCCUAAAGAGUAACGGAGGAGCACGAAGGUUGGCUAAUCCUGGUCGGACAUCAGGAGGUUAGUGCAAUGGCAUAAGC